GAAAUGAACAACCAUGCCCACAGGCAAAGUUGUUUGAAUGAGAAUAAAGAUGGAGAGAAAACACUAAAAUUUUUGUUGAGAUCCCAAACUCCCUUUUUGAGUUCCAUCAAAUUUCUGCUUGUCUAAUAUUGAUUGAAGAUAUCCUUUAAAUAGACUAAUACAAUGAGUCCUAAUCUAAUUGAAACUAAGCUAACUAUCUUUAAUUAUAGUCUGACUAAACUAUUGUAUUAUAACAAAAAUAGAAAUAUAAGAUUAUGUCAAAUAUAGGAUUCUGUCAAUAAC